rnacentral:rRNA from 1 species
AGUGAACGCUGGCGGUAGGCCUAACACAUGCAAGUCGAACGGCAGCACAGUAGGAGCUUGCUCUUACGGGUGGCGAGUGGCGGACGGGUGAGGAAUACAUCGGAAUCUACUUUUUCGUGGGGGAUAACGCAGGGAAACUUACGCUAAUACCGCAUACGACCUACGGGUGAAAGCAGGGGAUCUUCGGACCUUGCGGGUUUGAAUGAGGCGAUGUCGGAUUACGUAGUUGGCGGGGUAUAGGACGAGCAAGGCGCCGAUCCGUAGCUGGUCUGAGAGGAUGAUCAGGCACAUGGGAAGUGAGACACGGUCCAGACUCCUGCGGGAGGCAGCAGUGGGAAAUAUUGGGCAAGGGGCGCAAGCCUGAUCCAGCCAUACCGCGUAGGUGAAGAAGGCCUUCGGGUUGUAAAACCCUUUUGUUGGGAAAGAAGAGCAACAGUUUAAUACCCCGCUGUUAUGACGGUACCCGAAGAAUAAGCACCGGCUAACUUCGUG